rnacentral:rRNA from 1 species
UACGUAGGGUGCAAGCGUUAAUCGGAGUUACUGGGCGUAAAGCGUGCGCAGGCGGUUAUGUAAGACAGGUGUGAAAUCCCAGGGCUCAACCUUGGAACUGCAUUUGUGACUGCAUAGCUAGAGUACGGUAGAGGGGGAUGGAAUUCCGCGUGUAGCAGUGAAAUGCGUAGAUAUGCGGAGGAACACCGAUGGCGAAGGCAAUCCCCUGGACCUGUACUGACGCUCAUGCACGAAAGCGUGGGGAGCAAACAGG